rnacentral:tRNA from 1 species
GAGGGUAUAGCUCAAGUGGUAUAGCACAUGCUUAGUUAGCAUGCAUGAGGUCCUGGGUUCAAUCCCUAGUACCUACU